UAAGAGCAACUACAUUUUCCCCAGAUUGAA
rnacentral:sRNA from 1 species